rnacentral:rRNA from 1 species
UACGUAGGGUGCGAGCGUUGUCCGGAAUUACUGGGCGUAAAGAGCUCGUAGGUGGUUUGUCGCGUUGUUCGUGAAAUCUCACGGCUUAACUGUGAGCGUGCGGGCGAUACGGGCAGACUAGAGUACUGCAGGGGAGACUGGAAUUCCUGGUGUAGCGGUGGAAUGCGCAGAUAUCAGGAGGAACACCGGUGGCGAAGGCGGGUCUCUGGGCCGAUAUCGACGCUGAGGAGCGAAAGCGUGGGGAGCGAGCCGG